rnacentral:ncRNA from 2 species
AUAGCGCUCGGGAAUGGUGUCUCCCUGAAAACCGCGCUGAUGCUGAUGACGCCUACUGACGA